AUGACGUCACCUGGGACACCUGGGACAGGGACAUCCCCUGGCACACCUGGAGAACACCUGGGCUGGGAUCCCCGAUCCAGGAGAUCUCCUGGAUGCCAGGUGGAGUUCCCAGGAGCUCCCUUUACCUGCCGGGCUCGGGGGGCUCCGGGACCCUCCAGGGGUGGGAAUUCCGCUCCGGAGGCUCCGCCGGGCACCGCUUCGGGGCCGGGGCGGCGCCGAGCCAGCCCCGCUCCCCCGGAGAUCCCGGGGCGUCGGGGCCCGGGGGAGCCUCGUCCUUCCGGGAGUCCUUGUCCUUCCGGGAAUCCUCAUCCUUCUGUCCCAAUCCCAGGAAAUCCUUGUUCUUCAAUCCUAGUCCUGGGGGAUCCUCGUCCUUCGGUCCCAAUCCCAGGAAAUCCUUGUUCUUCAAUCCUAGUCCCGGGGGAACCUCGUCCUUCGGUCCCAAUCCCAGGAAAUCCUUGUUCUUCGAUCCCAAUCCCGGGAAAUUCUCGUUCUUUGAUCCCAGCCCUGGGGGAUCCUCAUCCUUUGAUCCCAAUCCCGGGAAAUCCUUGUUCUUGGAUCCCAAUCCUAGAGGAUCUUUGCUCUUCAGUCCUAGAACAUCCUUGUUCUUCUGUCCCAGUCCUGGGAAAUCUUUGUCCUUUGAUCCCAAUCCUGGGAAAUCCUCGUUCUUCGAUCCCAGGUCUGGGGGAUCCUCAUCCUUCAGUCCUAAUCCCGGGAAAUCCGCAUCCUUUGAUCCCAAUUGUGCAGGAUCCUCAUCCUUCAAUCCCAGUUCUGGGGGAUCUUUGCUCUUCAGUCCCAAGAAAUCCUUUUCCUUCUGUCCCAGUCCCGGGAAAUCCUUUUCCUUCUGUCCCAGUCCUGGGAAAUCCUCAUCCCCUAAUUCCAGGAAAUCCUCGUCCUUCAGCCCCAGCCAGGUGGCCCCGGAGGGACGUCGGGAGCUGCUCCCAACCGGACACCUGGCGGGGAGAGGGACACUGGGGACACUGGGGACUGGGCAGGGGACACUGGGGACACGGGGGGAUAUGGGGGACAAUGGGGACAACGAGCACACCAGGGAUACUGGGGACACUGGGGACACUGGGGACUGGGCAGGGGACACUGGGGACACGGGGGGACAAUGGGGACAACGAGCACACCAGGGAUACUGGGGACAUUUGGGGACAUUUGGGGACACUGGGGGACACGGCUGGGUGGGGACAUCCCCCCCCCGCCCCGGUACCUCCGUUCCCGUCUCCGCGCUGUCCCCGAGGCCACCGAGGGCUCGUAGGAUCCGAAGGGAAAACCCGGCUGGUUCCGGGCCCCACCCGGCCCUGCGGACACGAAAUUCCCAGAAUUCCCAAAAUUCCCAACGGGAUUGGCCUUGGAAAACCCCUUUGCUGCUCCUCCCCAGAAUUCCCUGUGGGAUUGGCCCUGGAAAACCCCUGUGCUGCUCCUCCCCGGAACUCCCAGUGGGAUUUUGUUCCUCCGGAACCCCUUGCCAUGGCUCUCCCACCCCGGCCCUGCUCACCUGGCCGCUCCUGCCCCUUGGGGUCCGGCUGGAAUUCCGCCUUUCCCGGCUGCUCCUGGAUCCCAGUGCGGCCCUUCCGGAGGCCCUGGCUGGGCACAGGCCGGGUGGCACCGGGGGUGGCACCAGGACCACCCCGUGCCCGUCCCCAUCCCGGUGUCCCCUCACCCCCCCGGCGUUCCCGGCGUGCUCCCGGCUCCAUCGGCGCCGCUGCCGAGUCCCAGGGAAUCCAUCAGGUCAUCGACGUCGUCCCCAAAGGUGACAUCGGGACGGGGCGGGGCUGGGGGGAUGGCACUGAUGGCAUCUGGGACAGCCCUGGUGCCACCAGCACUGGGACAUCUCCAGUGUCACCAAAACUGGAACAACUCCAGUGUCACCAAAACUGGGACAACUCCAGUGUCACCAAAACUGGGACAUCCCUGGGUGCCACCAGCACCGGGACAUCUCCAGUGCCACCAGCCCUGGGUGCCACCAGCGCUGGGACAUCUCAGGGACAUCCCUGGUGCCACCAGCCCUGGGACAUCUCCAGUGUCACCAAAACUGGGAUUUCCCUGGGUGCCAUCAGCGCUGGGAGAGCCCUGGGUGUCUCCAGCUCUGGGAGUCUCCAUGUCCCCCCCAUGUCCCCCCCCUGCCCCCCAUGUCCCCGUGUCCCUGUCCCAGCACUGGGGCUGAUCCCAGGGGAUGGGGUUUGA
ensembl:lncRNA